AUUGAACGCUGGCGGCAGGCCUAACACAUGCAAGUCGAACGAGUGGCGGACGGGUGAGUAAUGUCUGGGUAACUGCCUGAUGGAGGGGGAUAACUACUGGAAACGGUAGCUAAUACCGCAUACCAUCAGAUGUGCCCAGAUGGGAUUAGCUAGUGGGUGGGGUAAUGGCUCACCUAGGCGACGAUCCCUAGCUGGUCUGAGAGGAUGACCAGCCACACGGGAACUGAGACACGGCCCAGACUCCUACGGGAGGAAGCAGGGGGGAAUAUUGAACAAUGGGCGCAAGCCGGAUGCAGCCAUGCCGCGUGUUGGAAGAAGGCCUUCGGGUUGUAAAGAACUUUCAGCGAGGAGGCGUUACUCGAAGAAGAAGCACCGGCUAACUCCGUGCCAGCAGCCGCGGUAAUUC
rnacentral:rRNA from 1 species